UCAAACUCUACAGUUC
rnacentral:sRNA from 1 species